AUACGUAGGGGGCGAGCGUUGUCCGGAAUGAUUGGGCGUAAAGGGCGCGUAGGCGGCUUUGCAAGUCAGUAGUGGAAGUCCAUUUUUCAAGGAUGGAAGUGCUACAGAAACUGCGGAGCUUGAGUGCAGGAGAGGUUAUCGGAAUUCCCGGUGUAGCGGUGCAAUGCGUAGAGAUCGGGAGGAACACCAGUGGCGAAGGCGGGUAACUGGACUGCAACUGACGCUGAGGCGCGAAAGUGUGGGGAGCAAACAGGAUUAGAUACCCUGGUAGUCCACACUGUAAACGAUGAAUGCUAGGUGUAGGAGGUAUCGACCCCUUCUGUGCCGCAGUAAACACAGUAAGCAUUCCGCCUGGGGAGUACGGUCGCAAGAUUAAAACUCAAAUGAAUUGACGGGG
rnacentral:rRNA from 1 species